rnacentral:lncRNA from 1 species
UGUUGUUGUUGUUUUGAUUUUCCUGUGAAUUUAUAUGGGUUUAGAUUUUUAUUGUUAAUUUAUUGAUGUUGGGGGAUCAUUUUGGCUUAUAGAUUGGUUUGAACAUUUUUCUGUCUUUGUUUUUUCCGUUGUGUAGUUUUAGUCAAACUGAACUGUUCUUUUCAAUUUCAGAUUUAAUUGAAGUGUUUAGGAUUAUCUACAUAUAUAUAAUCAAUUUUGAAAUUUUAAACUAAAUCACUAUGCUGCAAUCAAACCCACAUAUUGUUGGGUCCAAAAGAAGAAGAAGAAGGAGUGAACAACACGAAAUUGGCUUUGGGUAAACUUCCACUCUCUUAUGUGUAUAAGCUCUUUGAGAAGUGAUUUUGGUUUGU